GACGAACGCUGGCGGCGUGCUUAACACAUGCAAGUCGAACGCUGAAGACCUGGCUUUUGUUGGGUUGGAUGGGUGGCGAACGGGUGAGUAACACGUGAGUAACCUGCCCUCUUCUUUGGGAUAACGCCCGGAAACGGGUGCUAAUACUGGAGAUUCACUGAUCUUCGCAUGGGGGUUGGUGGAAAGGUUUGUUCUGGGGGGGGAUGGGCUCGCGGCCUAUCAGCUUGUUGGUGGGGUGAUGGCCUACCAAGGUUUUGACGGGUAGCCGGCCUGGGAGGGUGACCGGUCACAUUGGGACUGAGAUACGGCCCAGACACCUACCGGAGGCAGCAGUGGGGAAUAUUGCACAAUGGGCGAAAGCCUGAUGCAGCGACGCCGCGUGAGGGAUGUAGGCCUUCGGGUUGUAAACCUCUUUCGCUCAUGGUCAAGCCGCAACUGUGUGUUGUGGUGAGGGUAGUGGGUAAAGAAGCGCCGGCUAACUACGUG
rnacentral:rRNA from 1 species